rnacentral:rRNA from 1 species
CCUACGGGUGGCAGCAGUGAGGAAUAUUGGUCAAUGGACGAGAGUCUGAACCAGCCAAGUAGCGUGAAGGAUGACUGCCCUAUGGGUUGUAAACUUCUUUUAUAUGGGAAUAAAAUGUUCCACGUGUGGGAUUUUGUAUGUACCAUAUGAAUAAGGAUCGGCUAACUCCGUGCCAGCAGCCGCGGUAAUACGGAGGAUCCGAGCGUUAUCCGGAUUUAUUGGGUUUAAAGGGAGCGUAGGUGGAUUGUUAAGUCAGUUGUGAAAGUUUGCAGCUCAACCGUAAAAGUGCAGUUGAAACUGGCAGUCUUGAGUACAGUAGAGGUGGGCGGAAUUCGUGGUGUAGCGGUGAAAUGCUUAGAUAUCACGAAGAACUCCGAUUGCGAAGGCAGUUCACUGGACUGCAACUGACACUGAGGCUCGAAAGUGUGGGUAUCAAACAGGAUUAGAUACCCCAGUAGUC